AUUGAACGCUGGCGGCAUGCCUUACACAUGCAAGUCGAACGGCAGCGGGGGAGAAGCUUGCUUUUCCUGCCGGCGAGUGGCGAACGGGUGAGUAAUACAUCGGAACGUGCCCUGUAGUGGGGGAUAACUAGUCGAAAGAUUAGCUAAUACCGCAUACGACCUGAGGGUGAAAGUGGGGGACCGCAAGGCCUCAUGCUAUAGGAGCGGCCGAUGUCUGAUUAGCUAGUUGGUGGGGUAAAGGCCUACCAAGGCGACGAUCAGUAGCUGGUCUGAGAGGACGAUCAGCCACACUGGGACUGAGACACGGCCCAGACUCCUACGGGAGGCAGCAGUGGGGAAUUUUGGGCAAUGGGCGAAAGCCUGAUUCAGCAAUGCCGCGUGUGUGAAGAAGGCCUUCGGGUUGUAAAGCACUUUUGUCCGGAAAGAAAUGGCUCUGGCUAAUACCUGGGGUCGAUGACGGUACCGGAAGAAUAAGGACCGGCUAACUACGUGCCAGCCGCCGCCGUAA
rnacentral:rRNA from 1 species